rnacentral:rRNA from 1 species
GACGAACGCUGGCGGCGUGCUUAACACAUGCAAGUCGAACGGUAAGGCCCUUCGGGGUACACGAGUGGCGAACGGGUGAGUAACACGUGGGUGAUCUGCCCUGCACUUCGGGAUAAGCCUGGGAAACUGGGUCUAAUACCGGAUAGGACCACUGCCUGCAUGGGUGGGGGUGGAAAGCUUUUGCGGUGUGGGAUGGGGCCGCGGCCUAACAGCUUGUUGGUGGGGGGAUGGCCUACCAAGGCGACGACGGGUAGCCGGCCUGGGGGGGUGACCGGCCACACUGGGCAUGAGAUACGGCCCAGACUCCUACGGGAGGCAGCAGUGGGGAAUAUUGCACAAUGGGCGCAAGCCUGAUGCAGCGACGCCGCGUGAGGGAUGACGGCCUUCGGGUUGUAAACCUCUUUCAGCACCGACGAAGCGCAAGUGACGGUAGGUGCAGAAGAAGGACCGUCCAACUACGUGCCAGCCGCCGCGGUAA